AUUCCAGCUCCGCAGGUGUAUAUCUAUGCUGCUGCGGUUAAAAAGCUCGUAGUUGGAUCUGCGUGCUCGGAACUGGUUGGCUCACUGAGUUCAAACUGGUCUCCGGCGCUUUAUUUGCUGGUUUUCACUUGAUGCUCUUAACCGGGUUUCUCGGGUGGCUAGCGUGUUUACUUUGAAAAAAUUAGAGUGCUCAAUACAGGCGCAAAGCCUUGAAUAGUGGUGCAUGGAAUAAUAGAAUAGGACCUCGGCUCUAUUUUGUUGGUUUUCGGAACACGAGGUAAUGAUUAAGAGGGACAGACGGGGGCAUUCGUAUUGCGACGUUAGAGGUGAAAUUCUUGGAUCGUCGCAAGACGGACGACUGCGAAAGCAUUUGCCAAGAAUGUUUUCAUUAAUCAAGAACGAAAGUUAGAGGUUCGAAGGCGAUCAGAUACCGCCCUAGUUCUAACCGUAAACGAUGCCAACUAGCGAUUCGCAGGCGUUAAACAACGACCUUGCGGGCAGCUUCCCGGAAACGAAAGUGUUCCGGUUCCGGGGGAAGUAUGGUUGCAAAGCUGAAACUUAAAGGAAUUGACGGAAGGGCACCACCAGGAGUGGAGCCUGCGGCUUAAUUUGACCCAACACGGGAAAACUCACCCGGCCCGGACACCGUAAGGAUUGACAGAUUGAGAGCUCUUUCUUGAUUCGGUGGGUGGUGGUGCAUGGCCGUUCUUAGUUGGUGGAGCGAUUUGUCUGGUUUAUUCCGAUAACGAACGAGACUCUGGCCUACUAAAUAGUGGGCGGAUUCUUUCUGUCCGCAACACUUCUUAGAGGGACAAGCGGUGUUCAGCCGCACGAGAUUGAGCAAUAACAGGUCUGUGAUGCCCUUAGAUGUCCGGGGCUGCACGCGCGCUACACUGAAGGAAUCAGCGUGCUUUCUGACCUUGCCCGAAAGGGCUGGGUAACCCGAUGAAAAUCCUUCGUGAUUGGGAUAGGGACUUGCAAUUAUUUCCCUUGAACGAGGAAUUCCCAGUAAGUGUGGGUCAUAAGCUCGCGUUGAUUACGUCCCUGCCCUUUGUACACACCGCCCGUCGCUGCCCGGGACUGAGCCGUUUCGAGAAGAACAGGGACCGUCGUUGAAGGGCCCUAACGGGCUUUUCUCUGAUAGAAACUGUUUU
rnacentral:rRNA from 1 species